UACUCGAGUGGCGAACGGGUGAGUAACACGUGGGUGAUCUGCCCUGCACUUCGGGAUAAGCCUGGGAAACUGGGUCUAAUACCGGAUAGGAGCCAUUUUUAGUGUGAUGGUUGGAAAGUUUUUUCGGUGUAGGAUGAGCUCGCGGCCUAUCAGCUUGUUGGUGGGGUAAUGGCCUACCAAGGCGGCGACGGGUAGCCGGCCUGAGAGGGUGGACGGCCACAUUUGGACUGAGAUACGGCCCAG
rnacentral:rRNA from 1 species